rnacentral:rRNA from 1 species
AUGGUCUGGGUAACCAUGGUAGGUAGGCCUCCUGCCGGCGACCCUGCCCCUCUUCGCCGCCAGCUUUCCAGAUCCACAAAAAUUGUUUAUUCAAGGCUAUUCUGGAUUUCUCGAGUCGAGGCUUCUUUUUCUGCUCCAUGCCCCCCUAUAAAUUUGAGCCACAUUGUUGGGUCAGCUAUCUCCAAGGUUCUAUCUGGAAGAGCAUCCUCAGCAAACUUAUGCAGAUCCAAUGAAUCUCCGAAUGUGCCUUCUGUUGGGCUCCUUCCGGUAAACAUCUCAAGCAGCAAUAUGCCAAGGCUAUAA